rnacentral:rRNA from 1 species
GCAUGGCGGCGCGCUUACACAUGCUAGUCUUGCGAGAACCAGAGGCUUCGGCUCUGGGGACCCGGCGAACGGGUGAGUAACACGUGGGUAACCUGCCCUCGGCACCGGAAUAGCCCGGGGAAACCCGGAUUAAUGCUGGAUAGCCUCGCGGAUCUUCGGGUCUGUGAGAAAAGGUGGCUUCUGCUUCCGGCUGAGGAUGGGCCCGCGGCCGAUUAGCUUGUUGGUGAGGUAACGGCUCACCAAGGCGACGAUCGGUAGCUGGUCUGAGAGGACGAUCAGCCACACUGGGACUGAGACACGGCCCAGACUCCUACGGGAGGCAGCAGUGGGGAAUCUUGCGCAAUGGGCGAAAGCCUGACGCAGCGACGCCGCGUGCGGGAAGAAGGCCUUCGGGUUGUAAACCGCUUUCAGGAGGGACGAAGCCACUCAGGUUAAUAGCCGAGAGGGUGACGGUACCUCCAAAAGAAGCCCCCUGCUUAACUACGUGCCA